AACGAACGCUGGCGGCAUGCCUAACACAUGCAAGUCGAACGAGACCUUCGGGUCUAGUGGCGCACGGGUGCGUAACGCGUGGGAACCUGCCCUUAGGUUCGGAAUAACUCCCCGAAAGGGGUGCUAAUACCGGAUAAUGUCUUCGGACCAAAGAUUUAUCGCCUUUGGAUGGGCCCGCGUUGGAUUAGCUAGUUGGUAGGGUAAAAGCCUACCAAGGCGACGAUCCAUAGCUGGUCUGAGAGGAUGAUCAGCCACACUGGGACUGAGACACGGCCCAGACUCCUACGGGAGGCAGCAGUGGGGAAUAUUGGACAAUGGGCGAAAGCCUGAUCCAGCAAUGCCGCGUGAGUGAUGAAGGCCUUAGGGUUGUAAAGCUCUUUUACCCGGGAUGAUAAUGACAGUACCGGCAGAAUAAGCGCCGGCUAACUCCGUG
rnacentral:rRNA from 1 species